rnacentral:rRNA from 1 species
UACGUAGGCAGCGAGCGUUGUUCGGAGUUCCUGGGCGUAAAGCGUGCGUAGGCGGUUUUCUAAGUUUGGUGUGAAAUCUCCCGGCUCAACUGGGAGGGUGCGCCGAAGACUGGAAGGCUUGAGUAUGGGAGAGGUAAGCGGAAUUCCUGGUGUAGCGGUGAAAUGCGUAGAUAUCAGGAGGAACACCUGUGGUGUAGACAGCUUACUGGACCAUUUCUGACGCUGAGACACGAAAGCGUGGGUAGCAAACAGG